rnacentral:rRNA from 1 species
AGAAGAGACCCACACGGCCACACCAUUCCCCACUCUCUCUCUCUCUUAUCUCUUUCGUCUAGAGAAGCUCGGCCACUGUUUUCCCCAAUCCACAACACUGCUCCGGCCGAGCGAAAUCCAGGUACACUCCGCUGCUCCGGCCAAAUUCGCUCGCCCCGAACUGCUCUGGCGAUUCCCUCCCUCUAUAUCCCUGCCUCUCUGCGCGCUGCUUCUUAUCCAUCCCCGUGCGGCCGUGCCCCAUGGCUUCUACCGGCAGCUGCAAGGGAUGGCCGGAGAGCGCACUGCUGCGGGAGCCGACCGAAUACGCCGCUGCUGCACCGCCACAUGUCUCUGGCUGCUAGUAGCAGGGAGACGACGAACUACACAAGCAGCAGAGCAACGACGAAAUCGACGAGCCUGACGACAACGGCAAGCUGGAGUCUCCCUCGACGAGCUCGACGAGGAAUAGGACGACGGUGAUGUCUCGGAGCAGCACGGUCGACCUCGGCGCCCUCCUGCCCGGCUUAGCCCCACUAGCAAAACCCAAGAUGCUGUCCAACCAAGUUUGUGUAUCCACAUUGCUUCUGAUGGCAUUGAAAGCUUCUACAAAGGCUUCCUCUUCCUCAUACUUGUACAUGCAAGCACUGAAAUCAGCAAGUACAUUUGGUCCCUCCUCGUCUUUUUUCUUAUGAGGUACAAUUCCUGAAUCAUCUGCUGUUUCAAUUUCAAAUGCUUGCAAUGCCGAAAUCUUCCGUUGUGACGGCAUCAAGUGGCUUGUCCCAGCUACAAGGAGGACGAUCAGGACAAAAGUAAGAUAGAAGGGAAAUCAUCUACAACAGGCACACACCAACGUACCUUGGUCUUGUUCUCGCUAGAGAGGACGAGUGGGAGGAACAAGGGAGACGAGCAGGAGGAGGCGCCGAGGAAAUUGUCAACACGUUCUGAUUGGCCACAACGUUAGUUCAGCAGAAGCGAGAUCUCUACAACACGUUCAGAUCAGCAUACCUUGGUCUCAUUUUUUCUCCGAGGAGGACCAUCAGGAGGAAGAGGACGAGUGGGAGGAUUUUGGCACCAAGAAACUAUCAGCUCGCUCUGUUUGGCGCCAGCGUUUAUGUGUUUGGCGGCAAUUGUACAACCGUGGGAGAUUUUCCUCCGGACUAAUAGGGAUUUUUGUUCUAAUUAUUCAUAGAAUUAAGGGGGGAGAAAGGAGAGCCAUCCGAUUAAAAUAGACGGCAGAUGCUAGACGCUACAGCACGUGUACAGAGGAGCUGAACCCCCCACGAAGCGGCGCUUCAUGUACUACUAGUGCAACCCUGAGGACGCUAGUUGAUAUAAUAUUUCAUGGACCAUUAACUUGAAUUCUCGGUGUCUCCUUCUCCCACAUCGGCAUCUAUAUACACAUGGCAUUUGCUAAUCUCAUCAAUUUGCCGUUUUCAUCAAUCUCAUCUCUCUGAAGGAAAAGAGAUUUUGGUCGUGUGCCUACUUUGCUACUUCAGCAGUGUCACACAUGUAAGCUAUUGUUAUGUGGGACAGCCUUGCACGCAUUACAA